ensembl:miRNA
AUCGCCACACCUAAAGGAUCCUCAUUAAGGUGGGUGGAAUAGUAUAACAAUAUGCUAAAUGUUGUUAUAGUAUCCCACCUACCCUGAUGUAUCUUUACUAAUGUCUAUGGU